rnacentral:rRNA from 1 species
AGAGUUUGAUCAUGGCUCAGAACGAACGUUGGCGGCGUGGAUUAGGCAUGCAAGUCGUGCGCGAACGUCUCCUUCGGGGGGCUAGUAGAGCGGCGAACGGGUGAGUAACGCGUGGGGAACCCGCCCUCGAGUUGGGGAUAACGCUCCUAACGGAGUGCUAAUACCGAAUAAUACGGCCAGGUCGCAUGGCUUGGCCGUCAAAGCUGGCCUCUACAUGUAAGCUAUCGUUGGGAGAUGAGCCCGCGUGCCAUUAGCUUGUUGGUAGGGUAACGGCCUACCAAGGCGACGAUGGCUAGCUGGUCUGAGAGGAUGGUCAGCCACACUGGAACUGAGACACGGUCCAGACUCCUACGGGAGGCAGC